CACGUAGGGCGCAAGCGUUGUCCGGAAUUAUUGGGCGUAAAGAGCGUGUAGGCGGCCAGAUAGGUCAGCUGUGAAAACUCGAGGCUCAACCUCGAGAUGUCGGCUGAAACCAUCUGGCUAGAGUCCGGAAGAGGAGAAUGGAAUUCCCGGUGUAGCGGUGAAAUGCGCAGAUAUCGGGAAGAACACCCGUGGCGAAGGCGGUUCUCUGGGACGGUACUGACGCUGAGACGCGAAAGCGUGGGGAGCGAACAGG
rnacentral:rRNA from 1 species